UGGGGAAUAUUGCACAAUGGAGGGAACUCUGAUGCAGCGACGCCGCGUGAGUGAUGAAGGAAUUCGUUUCGUAAAACUCUGUUCUAUGGGAAGAAAAGGACUGUACCAUAGGAGAAAGCUCCGGCUAAAUACGUGCCAGCAGCCGCGGUAAUACGUAUGGAGCGAGCGUUGUCCGGAAUUAUUAGGCGUAAAGGGUGCGCAGGCGGCUUUACAAGUUGGAUGUGAAAUAUUGUGGCUCAACCACAAACGUGCAUCCAAAACUGCAAAGCUUGAGUUAAGGAGAGGUAAGUGGAAUUCCUGGUGUAGCGGUGGAAUGCGUAGAUAUCAGGAGGAAUACCGGUGGCGAAGGCGACUUACUGGACUUAAACUGACGCUCAGGCACGAAAGCGUGGGGAGCAAACAGG
rnacentral:rRNA from 1 species